UCGGACGUGGUGUAUGGUGCACCCCUGCUCUGAUUAACCAGAAUGGGUCCGCCUACUUACAAGCGGGAGAACCGGGUUCGAUUCCCGGCGUCCGAA